CUGCGGAAGGAUCAUUACUAGAGCAAAGGAUAGACAGCGCCCGCGGAGCUCGCUCCCGGGGCUACCCUACUCCCGUAGGGUUUAGAGUCGUCGGGCCUCUCGGAGAAGCUCGGUCCUGAACUCCACCCUUGAAUAAACUACCUUUGUUGCUUUGGCGGGCCGCCUCGUGCCAGCGGCUUCGGCUGUUGAGUGCCCGCCAGAGGACCCCAACUCUUGUUUUUAGUGAUGUCUGAGUACUAUAUAAUAGUUAAAACUUUCAACAACGGAUCUCUUGGUUCUGGCAUCGAUGAAGAACGCAGCGAAAUGCGAUAAGUAAUGUGAAUUGCAGAAUUCAGUGAAUCAUCGAAUCUUUGAACGCACAUUGCGCCCUCUGGUAUUCCGGGGGGCAUGCCUGUUCGAGCGUCAUUAUAACCACUCAAGCUCUCGCUUGGUAUUGGGGUUCGCGGUUUCGCGGCCCCUAAAAUCAGUGGCGGUGCCUGUCGGCUCUACGCGUAGUAAUACUCCUCGCGAUUGAGUCCGGUAGGUCUACUUGCCAGCAACCCCUAAUUUUUUUAAGGUUGACCUCGGAUCAGGUAGGGAUACCCGCUGAACUUAAGCAUAUCAAUAAGCGGAGGAAAAGAAACCAACAGGGAUUACCUCAGUAACGGCGAGUGAAGCGGUAACAGCUCAAAUUUGAAAGCUGGCUCUUUUAGGGUCCGCGUUGUAAUUUGUAGAAGAUGCUUCGGGUGUGGCCCCGG
rnacentral:rRNA from 1 species